rnacentral:rRNA from 1 species
UACGGAGGGAGCUAGCGUUGUUCGGAAUUACUGGGCGUAAAGCGCACGUAGGCGGCUAUUCAAGUCAGAGGUGAAAGCCCGGGGCUCAACCCCGGAACUGCCUUUGAAACUAGGUAGCUAGAAUCCUGGAGAGGCGAGUGGAAUUCCGAGUGUAGAGGUGAAAUUCGUAGAUAUUCGGAAGAACACCAGUGGCGAAGGCGACUCGCUGGACAGGUAUUGACGCUGAGGUGCGAAAGCGUGGGGAGCAAACAGG